rnacentral:snRNA from 8 species
AUACUUACCUGGCAAGGGAGACACCGUGAUCAAGAAGGCGCUUCACCCAGGGCGAGGCUCAGCCAUUGCACUCCGGCUGUGCUGACCCCUGCGAAUUUCCCAAAUGUGGAAAUCUCUGGUAGUGGGGGACUGCGUUCGCGCUCUCCCCUG